GUCUUGACAGGGCUUCACCAAGUUCAUAAUUACAUAGCCAAAAGUAACAAAUAAUGAUUAUCAGUUGGGGAAACACAGAGAAAAUUGCCCAGGGUAAAAAUAUCAGUGUAAACUAGGAAAGGGUUAAGUCCCAGAUAAUGGCUCUUAUGACAACUCUUGGACAACGCUGUGGAUACAGGUAUCUUAUCCCCCAAAACAAAGAGAAGGCCUUCUGGGGCAACACCCUACCAUCUCAACAAUCUACUUAUUGCCUAAAAUACACAAGAACUCCAAGACACCGCCCGGACGACCAAUUGUAUCCGGCUCAAACUCACUUACGGAACCUAUAUGUAAGUACAUUGAUCAUUAUUUAAAGCCAUUGGUGGAGAUACUUCCCUCGUAUAUUAAAGACUCUAACGAGGUAUUAAGAAAAUUGGAAGGGGUACAGCUGGAUGAGAAUUUCAUACUGGUGACCUGCGAUGUUGAAUCACUAUAUACUUCAAUUAGACAUGCAGAUGGCAUUGCUGCCACAAAGUAUUUUCUUGAGUCUAGUGAUCUUGAUCCGGCUUUAUGUGCAUUGAUUCUGGAAUUGCUCUCCUUUGUGCUGAGCAGGAAUUCUUUCAUCUUUAAGGGGGUCCUCUACCUGCAGCUCCAAGGGACCGCAAUGGGGGCGGCAUGUGCGCCCUCAUUCGCAAAUCUCUUCUUGGGGCUGUGGGAGAAUACCAUUUUUACAUCGGACACCUGUCCUUACGCUGACAGUCAUCUCAUGGGGUCGUUAUAUUGAUGAUGUGCUAUUUAUUUGGCAGGGGACCACAAAUGAAUUAGAUGACUUUAUGGCUUAUUUGAAUAAUAACAACUUCAAUAUUCACUUGAAGUAUAAAGCGAGUAGAACUAAUCUUGAAUUCUUGGAUAUUCAGAUUUCCACAGACGAACAGGGAUUCGUGCAAACAAACCUGUAUCGCAAAAGCACAUUGGCCAAUACUCUCUUACACGCCAACUCUGCCCAUCCUUCUCAUCUAAUUCAGAAUAUACCUGUUGGCCAAUACCUGAGAGCCAGACGACUGUGUUCCAUGGAACAGGAUUUUGAACACCAGGCUGACGAUCUGGAACAGAGGUUUUGGGAACGUGGUUACAGUAGAAGAAGUAUCAACAAAGCGUAUUGGAGAGCAAAACGGACAGAUCGGACAUUUCUGCUACACAGAACAUCUACACCCAAGAAAACAAAUGAUCAGAUGAGAUGUGUCCUAGACUAUAACACACAGCAAUGAGGUAUUGUCCAUGUCCCUGUGGGAAUUGGAGAACAGUGGCCCAACGUGAGACGAGCUGGAUAUUUAAACUGGACUCAUUAGUUCCCUCAGGAAUAAACGAGAUCAUGGAUGCCUUACCUGAUGUCUUGCUGACCAUGAUGCCUUAAUUUGAGGUCUCGUCUUCCUUUUACUGCUAUCUUCUUGUGGACCUGAGUGCUCAUGACCAUCAUGAGGACAUGCUGUACCUACAUAUACCACUUGCGUGUAAUUCGCACCCUGGUAUAUAUACACUUCAGCCAUUGGCCUCUUAGAUUGGCUAUAUGUGAUUCUUUAAUUUUUAAAAAAUUGUUUUGGCCUCUACGAGGGAUUUCUAUCAGUAUUGUGUGCCCCUUGCAGACCUUUGGUGGUCUUUACUUAGUUGUGCAACUUCAUAUAGUACGUUCUGUGCGAAUCAGUUGGCACAUUAUCUAUACCUAUAUUUUGAAUAAAUCUUAUAUUUAAAUUUUUAUGGCAUUUCUGUUCACAUUCUUCUCUUAUUUUUGGGUAUUGUAUCACUUUACACUCCCCUCACUUAUCACGACCUCACUCAUGCACUGGCACUCACAUUCCCAGAGUGAUUGG